rnacentral:snRNA from 1 species
GUCCCUUCGGGGACAUCUGAUAAAAUUGAAACGAUACAGAGAAGAUUAGCAUGGCCCCUGCGUAAGGAUGACACACACAAAUCGAGAAAUGGUUCAAUUUUUU